rnacentral:rRNA from 1 species
CUACGGGUUGCUCCAGUGGGGAAUAUUGCACAAUGGACGAAAGUCUGAUGCAGCAACGCCGCGUGGAGGAUGACACAUUUCGGUGCGUAAACUCCUUUUAUAUAGGAAGAUAAUGACGGUACUAUAUGAAUAAGCACCGGCUAACUCCGUGCCAGCAGCCGCGGUAAUACGGAGGGUGCAAGCGUUACUCGGAAUCACUGGGCGUAAAGAGCGUGUAGGCGGGUUAAUAAGUUGGAAGUGAAAUCCUAUGGCUCAACCAUAGAACUGCUUCCAAAACUGUUAACCUAGAAUAUGGGGAGGAGAGUAGGUAUUUUGUGGGGGAGGGCGAAAAUCGAUAAGAGUCAAGAGGAUGACCGUUGGGAGAGGCGUGAUAAUGAAACAUUGUUGACGCAGCGACGCAACAGUGUGGGAACCAACCAGGUUAAAAGCCCCAAUUUUCC